UAAUGUAAUUGCUACAACGUUAAUGCAUUGAUCCCCAUUAAAACUCUACAGUUAAGUGUGCUUGGGAUAGAGUAGUACUAGGAUGGGUGACCUCCCAGGAAGUCCUAGUGUUGGCAUUCA
rnacentral:rRNA from 1 species